rnacentral:tRNA from 1 species
AAGGGAGACCUAAUUCAGGUAGGAGACGAAAAAAAAGUAGUCGCUACCGAGAAUCAAUCCCAAAAGGUCGGAGCGAGGCGAAAUUGGCUUUCAAACUAGGUUCUGGGUUCACACAAGACCUGAAUCAGGAACAAGGGCUAUUAGCUCAGGUGGUUAGAGCGCACCCCUGAUAAGGGUGAGGUCCCUGGUUCGAGUCCAGGAUGGCCCACCUGCACAGGUGGCAAAAACAAGAAGAGAAGCGAGGAAUCAGCACCUUAUCUUAUCUAUAUAUAUAUAGGAGAGAAUGCUGGCUCUGAGUAAAGAGUCCAGAGGAACCUUGAAAACUGCAUAGAGCUAGGUGAAAAAGCCAAAAAAGAAGACCGCAAGGUCAAGCUAAUAAGGGCUAACGGUGGAUACCUAGGCAC